CCAGUGCUCACCCAGUCCUCACCUCACCAGAUCUGAAUCUCGCAGUCCGCCCCGCCGCCUCUAGCUACUAGUACGGAAGAUAUGAGUGGAUGAAAGCUCAAACCCGGCUUUCAUAGAUCCUAGCGGUUUUGAAGUAAUAGCGGGCCUGGUUUUGCUUUUCAUCAAAGCAUCUUGACAGACCAAAAUCUGCAAUUUUUGGCACCAUGUUGUCAUCUAGUAGUAUAUUUGCAGGUUUGAGAUCCAAGUGAAGAGUAUGAAUCUCGUGAAGAUAGUGUCAACCAUGCAAAUCCCUUGAUUAUUUUGUAGCGCGCUCUCCAUUCAAGCUCUCUCAAUUCAGGAGUGAUUGGGCAUUGUACAACUGCAAUGAAGUUGUCCAACACAUGUAUGCAUGAGAAGUUCCACCAAGUGGUUGAACUUAAAGAACAAGAAAAAAGUGUUGACACACCAAGAAAGAUGGAAAUAUAAGAUAGAAAAUUUGUCAAGCCAGACAAAUUCUCUUAUUUGAAUGUCUAUCUAGAUGGAGCCUUCAUGCUCAUAUGAAAGAUGCAUGAAUCUGCAUGGCUAAAGCGCUAUAAAAUAAUCAAGGGAUUUGAAAGGGUCGACAUCAUCUUCGCAAGAGUUGCGUCGUUCACUUAGAUCUUAGACCUACAAAUAUGUUUCUGGAUAACAAUGUGGUGACAAAAAUUGCUGAUUUUUGUUUGGCAAGUUGCUUGGAGGAAAAUCAAAACCAAGCUGUUGCUUCAAAACAGUUUGGAUCUAUGUGGCCUAUUGAGAUUGCCAUGGAUAGUUCAUCAGUUGUGCAGGUAAGCUCAAUAUGGCAUUCUCAACUAACCUCUUUUUCUUUUGAGACAGCAUACUUCCCCAUUUCCACCUUUGUUGCUCCGAGCUGAUGGAUGAUUGCAAGCAUCGUUGAUUCUCCAACAGAAAAGGGUUCCAGUAGGUGGCAGUGAAGUUCAGCUAAGAGAUGUUGGGAAACUGUCUGUUCAUCGAUAUAGUGGUGGCUGAACUAGAGGAUAUUCGGGCAGAAGCUCAGGGAGCAACAUCAGGAUUCAGGGGUAGACAAAGCCAGGAAGAGAGGAUGGCCAGGACUUUGAAGAUUGACCCCUCUGCAUCAUACUCCAUGACAGCUACUCCAUUUACCUGCUCGGCUGAGAUUUAGGAUGGUGUCUCAAAGGAUGGCCAAAGCCUUGAAGAUUGACCCCUCUGCACCAUACUCCAAGAAGCAUGUCGGCCUGUUUCGGUGGAAUGGUUUUCACAGACUUAUGCUUGAUUUCCAUUACUGCUUUAGCCUCUUUGUACCUUUACAGUAGGGCACAUUGGAGUUGUUGUGUAAACAUUCGGAUUGAAUGGAUAUACGAAUGUAUUGGUUAUUCUUACAUCUAAAAAUGGCUGAUAU